rnacentral:tRNA from 1 species
UCCCUGGUGGCUCAAUGGGUAAAGGGCCUGGCAUUGUCACUGCUGUGGCGCAGGUUUGAUCCCUGGCCUGGGGA